GAGAUGAAGCUGCAGUUUGAAGAUGAAGCUGCAGUUUGAGAUGAAGCUGCAGUUUGAAGAUGAAGCUGCAGUUUGAAGAUGAAGCUGCAGCUGUCACCUGAAGCCAUUUUCUUGCACUUCAGUCUUUGUCCCAUGGAUACCUGCAGAAGUUAUCUCUGCCUGUGACCAACUGUUCCUUUAACUGGGAUCAACUCCAGGCAGGACAAGCUCGGACUGGGCUGGCUGCUGGCCACGGGAGGGUCACAGCGCCACGGUGGUGACGGUUUUGCUCCAGCACAAGGCUCAGUGGCUCUCCUCGGUGUGUUCCAGAGCGUGGAGACGUGGGGAGGGACCUGUAGUUCUCCCUCCCAGCUACCCUGUGGCUGCAGCAGAGCCUCUCCCUCGCUCCUGCUGUGAGCUCUGCCCCAGACUGCUGCCACAGGAGCGUCCCAGCUUGCCACCAGGGUGCUACAAGCUGAGGAGGUUACAGCUGCUCUCUUCUGCUGCCAGGAGGAACCAGGCCAGCCUUUGCUGCCUCUUUUGGUGCUGCAGCCCCCUCUGAAGCCUUCCUUGACUGGAGCCUUCUGAAGCAGGGGAGGGGGUCGAUUAUUGCCCCUAAGACAACUCUCACAAUGCCUUUUUUAAAUCAUAGUGGGGGGGGGGGGGGGAGGGUUUGGGGUGUGGUUUUAUUUUUCCUGUUGCAAGUUGUGGUUUUGAAGACUUUUCUAGACCUACUGGAUCCAAACUGGCUAAGCCAGGACUUGAGAGCUGAGGGUGGACCAGGACAGCUGGGUUGUGUUUAACUUGCCCCCCCCAAAAUGAGCUGUUUUCAGUCCCAAGACAGAAGUGAAUGUUUGCUGCUGUUGAUUUCAUGCAGCCCUGUGGAGGAAUGUGACUGGGCUGGGACAGCAGCCACACCACAGCCUUUGCUUCUCCUCUUAACCCAAUGGUACCUGGGGGGGGGGGCAGUGGAAGAGUCCAGGGGUCAGGUUGAAGAGGAGUUGGGAAACUUCUUCAGUUGUUACCAUUUUAUACCAUUGUUUACUCUUGAUCUAUGAUUAAAUGAUGCUUCAGAAGCUUGGCUGGCACCUUGCAGCUGGAGAAAACAAACCCAGGCUCUCUCCUACCCCUCUGCUCUGCCAGGGUGAGGCCAGAGCUGGAGGAUUUGGACCAGUUUUGGGGCUCACCCAGGUCCAGAGGGGUAGGAAAACUACUGGAGAGAGUCCAGUGGAGGCUGAGGAGGUGCUGAGGGGCCUGGGGCAGCUCUGUGAGGAGCAGAGGCUGAGCCCUGGGGCUGAGAGCCUGCAGCAGAGCAGCCCCAGAGGGCAUCUGAGCAGUGCCCAGCAGGAGCUGAAGGGUGGGGGGCAAGAGGCUGGGGCCAGACUCUGCUCAGUGGUGCCCAGGGACAGGACAAGGGGCAGUGGGCACAGACUGGCACCCAGGAGGCAGAGUUCCAGUGGGCACACACUAACCCCCCAGGAGGCAGAGUUCCAGUGGGCACACACUGACCCCCCAGGAGGCAGAGUUCCAGUGGGCA